UCUGCUGUCGAGAUGCUGUGUGUGUGUUUGCUGGUGUGUGGAAGAGAUGGAUGGUGUUUGUGCCAUUACGGCGCAGGUCACGGAUCUGGUCACCGGUGUCAGAUGUUAUGAAGUUUCUCAUUUCCUGCACAAGGGUUUCACAUCCACCAUUCACAAAACGGCCCCGCGAGUGCCGGGAAACAUGUCCCACGAGGUCACGGACACACCCUAAAUGUCCCCGUUUGAUCCCGUUAGAGUUCGCAAGCAUCCAAGCAAGCGAGUUCCAGAACAGACAGAUAAAUAAAGGAGUUACUCUGUGUUUGAUGUCCACCGGAAACGCCAAAUGGGUCCUCAUAACUUUAGAAAAAUUAUUAAAAUCAACAGCACUGAAGAAUAUUGAUUUGUGGAAAUACAAUUAAAUAAUAAAUACGCUUGUGAUUGUAGUUUAGAAAAUAAAACAGAAGAAAAACGAGGCUUAAAUCAUCAGAAGGUUAUUCAAACUUAACAUUAAAUAGAACUGUUAAUUGAUUUUCACCUGUUGACUUUAAUGCUGGAUUGAAUAACAACAGUCUAAAAACUUUCCUAAAAUCCACAGAGAUAGCAAUUUCCAACGCUAUCUCACGACCAAUUCGUACGUAUAACAGUCAUGAACGCGUUUGUUUUAUUUGAAGUCCAUGAAUUAUGUAGUUGAUUCAAAUUAUAUGUAAACUGAUGAUUAAAGGAGAUUAAACAGUAAAUAUUGCUCAGCAUUUAAAUUGCACGUGUUCAGUUAAAUUGUUUCAAUCCCGAAUUGUUCAUAAACCACUUAGCAAGAGUUAAACUGUUUUUUUUUUUUAAUUAGCAAGACUUUAAAAAUUUAACGUUUGAAGGAUCUCUUGUUUUCUUUUUAAAGAAACAAACCAAUCUUUUUCUCUCUGUCAGAGAAAGUUAAGACACUAAUUCUUCAAAUCCAAACUCAUAAUCCAACCCCAGAGAAAUGUUUUCCACAUGUGAAAUUAUCUUUUAAAUCAGGACAAUGCAAAUAGGUGCAAUUGAAAUGCAAAACAGUUCACCAAUUGACAUGUUCAUGCAACUGCAUUUCACUUAAAAGAACUUUAAAACAGACUGAACAGAUCUGAAAACACACUCUUGGCUGUUAAUUAAACUAAUUCAAUUGAAAUCAUUUUAGCAACAUUGCUAGAAGGCAAGAUCGCAGUUUAUCUCAUCAAUAAAGUGAUUUUACAGCAGAAGGAUUACAGAGAUGCUUUGUGCUUACAAAACCAACAGAUUGGAGGGUCUGUUUGGAUGUAUUGAGCAGUUCGGAUCCGCCAUACCUUCACCUCACCCACCCCCACCCAGCCGGACCCCCGAGGAAACGCAUGGUUGUCAAUAGAAUUCACAAUAGAGUUUAUUCAGCUCUUCUCCUUUCUUUUGGCUUAAUGCUGCAUUCGUUCAUUUCCUCCAUCUCUCCGAAAUUAUCUCCCGAAGCCAACACAAACCCGAUUUUCAAAAUCAGAAUUAAUCAGAAGUAAAUAUCGAGUAUGCGGGGAGGAUUUUUUUUAAAUGCUUCCUUAGUUUUACAUGUGAAGGCUGCUGCUACAUCAAUCGUUCUCACAAAGACCACUACAUUUAUGGUUUCAUUAUAAGUGAGGAUAGCGAAUGGCGGGCUCUGAUUGGCAGCCAUUUUGUGCGAACAUGCCUUAAAUUCAAGAAAAAAAUCCACACAAGGAAAAUUACAAACUAAAGGUCGUUGGAUAUAUAUAUUUAAGUGUAGCCUAAUCAAAUCAAAAUGACUAGCUGGCGUGUCUUCAUCUUGUGGGGUCAAAUAAAAACACAUCAAAUUGUGGUUCGGGCUGCUUCUUCAAGGUACUUAGACUUUCCUUCCAGCAGCGCCCUCUGGCGGUCAGUCGGCGCAAUGACGUCAGUGUGGCAGGCGGUUCUGCAGCGGUUUUGGGAGCCGAUGAGCUUCAGCUACAGGUGAUGCUGACGUAUAACUGAGAUGCUUUCAAAAGCAGAAUUAGGGUCUGUAUAAUUGUGCAUACUGAAACGCAGGCUACGUGAACGGCACGGUCAAACAGGCAGUUCAAAAUAAAUGUUUGUAGCUAUAAAUGUGAAGUUAGCAUUUGAAGAAAUGUCUAAAACCUUGCCAGUGUAGUGACACUGCCUUGGUUUUUAUUAUUAUUAUUAUUAUUAUUAUUAUUAUUAUUAUUAUUAUUAUUAUUAUUAUGAAAUUGGCCAUUAGGCCUUCCAUUUGGGUUCUCAUCUGGCCUGAUACGAGCACUUAGUGUUCCAAUAACACCCUACUAUAAAUCCAAGAUUCACAUAAUACUAAUUAAACUGAUUGUUUGUGAAUUUGAAUGGAAAGACAUCAUGAUCAGUCAGUCACCUACUGAUUUUAAAACAGUGUCUUGCAGUUUCAUCACAUACCGACAUGCGCAAUCUUACCGUUCAUCCGCCAUUACCGGGGCGUCAGGAAUACGGACGUGUGUGUGUUUAUCCCGCAGCUGUGUUGAGGUCUGCAGGCUGUAUUGUGCGGCGGCGGCGGGUGACGGCGGAGUCCUCACGGUUCCGAUCCGAAGCAGAUCCCAUCUUCAGUUCAGAAAAUCUGGAUAAACGGGACGAUUUUCUUUUCUGUGCUGCCAUCGUGUGGUCCAUAAUACAAGCAGAAAUAUAGGCUAAGGUGAAUUGAUAUUCCACAGUGAGAUUUAUUCAUUUUCUAGAAGAGUUAAUCAUUCAUUUAAAUUGUCAUUCUCUGCACACAAUCCGCGCGCAGCUCAACACAAUGAACCGGAAAAGAUGCCACAUAAAUGAAGGAGAAUGCAAAUAAAUGCACUGUAAAACAGCUUAGAUGAAACAGCUGAUCUUUUAAAAGUUGCUCUAUAUAUGUUUGUAAAUAAAUCAAACUGAAUGAAACGAAAAAUCCUAUUUUCAAUGAGUUUCGCGCACCUUUGGAUCAACUUGUUUGGAUCAGAACUUGUGCUUUCGUUUGUAACUGGACUUUUUUCAUCUAAUAAAGAAAUGAGUGACAAAGAGAAUUUAGAAAUUAAAAAUAUUGUAGAGUUGAGCAUAAUUAAAGAAAAAAAAACUUCCAUUACCUGUCAGUCAUCUUAAUAACAACACGCUUAUGCUAACUGCAUGGAUAACUUUUAUAUAUUAAUAUUCUUUUAUGUAUUAUAGGCACUAUGUAUUUUAAACAGCUAUUAACUGCUGUUUACACACCUACCUUAGGUUUUUAUAUAGACAUAUAAAACUAUAAUUUUAAGUAAAGUAAUAGAUUAAGAGUGAUUGUUUUGUCGAUGUUCUUUAGAGUCUUGGACUUGGGGGAAAAAAAGUUUUUCAAAUAUUUCGGUUUUCGAGACGUGUAAUUCUGCCACCAGGAGGAGACAAAAAUACACUGUACAGAUUCACACUACAGUAAUCAUAAUAUUCACGACAGCAUUUUGAUUAAUUACAAGUAAUCCAGUCUAAUUUAAAAAUCUUAUGAUCAGAACUUAAACAGCAAUAAAUGUUUGACCAUUUUUUUUCUUUCUCAUAUUAGUAAAACAUUUCAUUCUGAAAGAUUUCGAUUCCAAAAACUAUUUGUGCACCAUCAGAACGGAAUGUUAUCAGACUGGAAGGAAUAAAUACUUCAAGAACCAAUUAAAUGAAAAUGUUUUGAGGUAUCGAUCAGUGGUUUUUGCAAGUUAUGUAAAAGUAUAUUUAAAACUUUUAAAACCAAGUUUUAAAUCAGGAUACAUUUAUUUGAGAAGUAAAAUUACAUAGAAUAAUAAGUCUUGUUUUUUUGAGAAACUGAUCAAACAGCAGUGAGUUUGUGAAUAAAACAAACACUGCCAAUGGGCUCAGAAAAACAAAAAAACAAUUAAAAGGGAAAACAAGUUUUCAUUCCCUGUUGACAGAUAUUGUUCUUGCUGUAAGCAUAAACUCAUUUAAUUUCAUUCAGUUUCUAAAACAAGACUUAUUCAUUUUGCAUCUCAAGUUAAUGUAUAUGAUUUAAGGAUGUUUAGAUAUUUGAAUCGAAAAAAACAAACGGCUGAGGAAAAUAUUCCUUUCUUGAAUUGCAUGCAACAUUUAAUGCCAUCACUAUGAAUUUCUGUUCCUAUUUAAGACCUUAAUUUGUGGAAAAGUGAAUUAGGAGUUUUUUUUUUUUAAAACCCAGAAAACCGUGAAAACUCACACUCAACAUUGCAAACUCUCCAUGCUUGAAUGAACGGGACCAACAUGUAACUUAAACAAGCUUAUUUUUAAUGGAUCUGCAAAAUCGUUUGAAUUUCCAAAGAGAACGCUCCCCUCCCUGACACGUUUCUGGACCAGAAGAGAUACUUGCUGUCAAUUACAAACAUGGCUAAACUUACAAAAGACCCCAAAACCCCCAAAGAAACCAGCAUGCAGGAGAGAAUGAGUAACUGAGUGAGGGAAAACAAAACAAAACAUACAGAGGAGAUUCAUAAAACAUUCUGAAAAAUAAAAAACAAACUACAUUUUAAAAAAACAAAACAAAAAAUAUAUAUGAUGCCAUUCUCUUCUGAGCAAACAGGUUGAGACCGGAUGGUUCCACUCAGGUGUGUUGGGUUGAGUUAGCGGUCAAGCAGAGAGGAGAGGACCAGUGUGUGUGUGUGUGUGUGUGUGUGUGUGUGUGUGCGUGUGCGUAACUGUUACAGAAAAGUGAUGUUUAAAUGCAUGUUUGGGGGAUGGGCUCUAAGGCUCUACAUUAAGGCACCGGACGAAAGAAAUCAAAUCAGAGAACAAAAAAACCAGCUAGAGAAGAUCUCUCACACUAACACACAACACUAACCCAAAACACUGGACAAAAGUCUCGUCUAGGAUGUCGUACUGAACGCUACGCCGCUCCUCUGUGCUGACGGACAGCGUCUCCAAGUCCACUGACGGUCUUUAUGUAGUGGUGAAUGCGCUUUUUGCUUAAAUUCAUUCAUUUCUUUCUUUCUUUCUUUAACUUUAAAAUAAGAAGAAACAUGAAAUGACUUUCUCUUUACAUUUGUAUUUUUUUUUUUCAGAAAUAAAAAUGAUGUCAGCAAGCAGCCGUGAUUUUGAGAAACAUUAGAGAUGUGUUUUACAGAGAAUCCCGUGAGGAGAGAACGGAAGAGUGUUAGACAGAAACGAGGGAUGAGUGAAUGAGAUCGAGAGAGAGAGAGAGAGAGAGAGAGAGAGAGAGAGAGAGAGAGGGAUAUA